GCGCCCGUAGCUCAGCUGGAUAGAGCAGCGGUUUUCUAAACCGCAGGUCACAGGUUCGAGUCCUGUCGGGCGCACCA
rnacentral:tRNA from 1 species